rnacentral:rRNA from 1 species
UACAGAGGUCCCAAGCGUUGUUCGGAUUCACUGGGCGUAAAGGGUGCGUAGGCUGCGGGGCAAGUCGGGUGUGAAAUCUCAGAGCUCAACUCUGAAAGCUGCACCAGUCGAUAAGGCUGCGUUUGCUUGAGGACUGGAGAGGAGAUUGGAAUUCACGGUGUAGCAGUGAAAUGCGUAGAUAUCGUGAGGAAGACCAGUGGCGAAGGCGGAUCUCUGGACAGUUCCUGACGCUGAGGCGCGAAGGCCAGGGGAGCAAACGGGG